rnacentral:rRNA from 1 species
CCUACGGGUGGCAGCAGUAGGGAAUAUUGCUCAAUGGGGGAAACCCUGAAGCAGCAACGCCGCGUGGAGGAUGACGGUUUUCGGAUUGUAAACCCCUUUUGUUAGAGAAGAUAAUGACGGUAUCUAACGAAUAAGCACCGGCUAACUCCGUGCCAGCAGCCGCGGUAAUACGGAGGGUGCAAGCGUUACUCGGAAUCACUGGGCGUAAAGAGCGCGUAGGCGGGAUAGCAAGUCAGAUGUGAAAUCCUAUGGCUUAACCAUAGAACUGCAUUUGAAACUGUUAUUCUUGAGUAUGGGAGAGGUAGGUGGAAUUCUUGGUGUAGGGGUGAAAUCCGUAGAGAUCAAGAGGAAUACUCAUUGCGAAGGCGACCUGCUGGCACAUAACUGACGCUGAUGCGCGAAAGCGUGGGGAGCAAACAGGAUUAGAUACCCCUGUAGUC